AUUGAACGCUGGCGGAAUGCUUUACACAUGCAAGUCGAACGGUAGAGGGGGCAACCCCUUGAGAGUGGCGAACGGGUGAGUAAUAUAUCGGAACGUGCCCAGUCGUGGGGAUAACGUAGCGAAAGUUACGCUAAUACCGCAUACGAUCUAAGGAUGAAAGCGGGGGACUCGCAAGAGCCUCGUGCGAUUGGAGCGGCCGAUAUCAGAUUAGGUAGUUGGUGGGGUAAAGGCUCACCAAGCCAACGAUCUGUAGCUGGUCUGAGAGGACGACCAGCCACACUGGAACUGAGACACGGUCCAGACUCCUACGGGAGGCAGCAGUGGGGAAUUUUGGACAAUGGGACGCAAGUCUGAUCCAGCCAUUCCGCGUGCAGGAUGAAGGCCCUCGGGUUGUAAACUGCUUUUGUACGGAACGAAAGGUUCUAUUAAUACUAGGAGCUCAUGACGGUACCGUAAGAAUAAG
rnacentral:rRNA from 1 species